UCUUUUUAUCUGCUUCAGACAUCGGUAUGUUAUCCAUGACUGUAUUAUAUAUGAUUUCCGUUAAUAAUUGUAAUUGUUCUCUAGUAAGCGUGUUUAUGAUAAUCGUUUGCUGAUGUUGAGGUGCAGAAAGCAUAAAGUCGAGAAAAUAAUUCAUUUUUUUGCUUCAUAGAUGAUUGGAUCCUCUCCGGGCAAUAUCCUAGUGCGAAGUGGGGGAAGUUCUGUCGGACCAUCCACAAUAUUCAACAAUAUUCAACUGUGGACCGUGUGGACUGACGUCGACAAAAAGAUAUCCAUAUCUUUUAGAAACGGCAGACAGAGCUACCUGCUAACUGUAUUGUGGCAGGACAGAUGAUGGGAACCAGACUUGUCUGUGACAUGAUUCAAAAUGAAAACAGCGUUGAUUUCAAAAUAGCCAGGAUACUCAGCAUAAACGAUGCAGCUGAUUGUUUUGGAUAGUGUUCUUCCAAAUGUGACUUCCAGUCUGACGUUUCCUUGUUUUAGUAAGGAACGUACUGAGGGGUGUCAAGUGUUUGGCUCCAGCUUGCAACUUUCUGAGCUUUCACCAUUCGAAGUAGAUUCUGCUUCUCACCGUCGAUUAUGGAUUCUCCAACAAUACCGCAAUGUUCGACCCAGAGAAAACGGCUUAACACAUCGAUGACCAUCAACAAAAAUCGUACACCUGAGUUAUGUUUGGCAAGUGACGUCAUGUCCAAUAAAUCGGUGUCAUAUUGCUCGAACGGUUCUCCAACUUCUACACGUGCACGCUUAAAUGAACGUUUUACGGGUUUUUGCAGACUGUAGUCGUCAAGACUUUGAAUGUAUCGUCUGAUCUUAUAUAAACAUGGAGAGUAAAAUCCUUGUGAUUUUAAUAUUUGAUGUACUUUUGUUGGAUUUAAGAAUGUUCCACCGUUAUU